rnacentral:rRNA from 1 species
GACGAACGCUGGCGGCGUGCUUAACACAUGCAAGUCGAGCGGUAAGGCCCUUUCGGGGGUACGACGAGGCGGCGAACGGGUGGAGUAACACGUGGGUGGACCUGCCCUUACGCUCUGGGAGUAAGCCUGGGAAACGUGGGUCGUAAUACCGGAUAUGACUCCAUGACGCAUGUUGUGGGGUGGGAAAAGCCGUUGUGCGGCUAGGGAUGGGCCCGCGGCCUAUCAGCUUGUUGGUGGGGUGAUGGCCUACCAAGGCGACGACGGGUAGCCGGCCUGAGAGGGCG